GGAGAGGUGGCCGAGUCGGUCGAAGGCGGCUGCCUGCUAAGCAGUUGUGUGCGGUAACGUGCACCGGGGGUUCGAAUCCCCCCCUCUCCG
rnacentral:tRNA from 1 species